CAAUAGCGUAUAUUAAAGUUGUUGCAGUUAAAAAGCUCGUAGUUGGAUUUCUGGUGGGAGCGAUCGGUCUGGCGCUUAGCGCGAGUACUUGCAUCGUCUCCGGCCAUCCUUGGGGAGAGUCUGUCUGGCAUUAAGUUGUCGGGCAGAGGAUCCUCAUCGUUUACUGUGAAAAAAUUAGAGUGUUCAAAGCAGGCUUAUGCCGUUGAAUAUAUUAGCAUGGAAUAAUAAGAUAGGACUUUGGUACUAUUUUGUUGGUUUGCGCACCAAAGUAAUGAUUAAUAGGGACAGUUGGGGGUAAUCGUAUUCCGUUGUCAGAGGUGAAAUUCUUGGAUUUACGGAAGACGAACUACUGCGAAAGCAUUUACCAAGGAUGUUUUCAUUAA
rnacentral:rRNA from 1 species